rnacentral:rRNA from 1 species
GACGAACCGUGCGAACGUUGUUCGGAUUCACUGGGCUUAAAGGGCGCGUAGGCGGGCGGUCAAGUCGGGGGUGAAAUCUUUCAGCUUAACUGGAAAAGUGCCUCCGAUACUGAUCGCCUCGAGGGAGGUAGGGGCAUGUGGAACUUCCGGUGGAGCGGUGAAAUGCGUAGAUAUCAGGAGGAACACCGGUGGUGUAAACGGCUUUCUGGACCAUAACUGACGCUGAGGCACGAAAGCGUGGGUAGCAAACAGG